rnacentral:rRNA from 1 species
GGACGAACGCUGGCGGCGCGCCUAACACAUGCAAGUCGAACGAGCGAGAGAGAGCUUGCUUUCUCAAGCGAGUGGCGAACGGGUGAGUAACGCGUGAGGAACCUGCCUCAAAGAGGGGGACAACAGUUGGAAACGACUGCUAAUACCGCAUAAGCCCACGACCCGGCAUCGGGUAGAGGGAAAAGGAGCAAUCCGCUUUGAGAUGGCCUCGCGUCCGAUUAGCUAGUUGGUGAGGUAACGGCCCACCAAGGCGACGAUCGGUAGCCGGACUGAGAGGUUGAACGGCCACAUUGGGACUGAGACACGGCCCAGACUCCUACGGGAGGCAGCAGUGGGGAAUAUUGCACAAUGGGGGAAACCCUGAUGCAGCGACGCCGCGUGGAGGAAGAAGGUCUUCGGAUUGUAAACUCCUGUUGUUGAGGAAGAUAAUGACGGUACUCAACAAGGAAGUGACGGCUAACUACGUG